GGGGGAGGGAGUUUGAAUAAACAUCUUACUUACACUAAGGAAAUACUUUAUGAGUGC
rnacentral:tRNA from 1 species